CGCCCUUCCUACGGGAGGCAGCAGUGGGGAAUUUUGGACAAUGGGCGCAAGCCUGAUCCAGCCAUGCCGCGUGCGGGAAGAAGGCCUUCGGGUUGUAAACCGCUUUUGUCAGGGAAGAAAUCUUCUGGGUUAAUACCUCGGGAGGAUGNCGGNCCNNAG
rnacentral:rRNA from 1 species